GCUUAACUAGUUGGUGGGGUAAUGGCUCACCAAGGCGACAAUGCGUAGCCAACCUGAAGAAGGGUGAUCGGCCACACUGGAGACUGAGAACACGGCCCAGAACUCCUACGGGAGGCAGCAGUAGGGAAUCUUCCGCAAUGGACGAAAGUCUGACGGAGCAACGCCGCGUGAGUAGAUGAAGGUUUUCGGAUCGUAAAGCUCUGUUAGUCAAGGGAAGAACAAGUGCUAGAGUAACUUAGCGUCGCUCCUUGACGGUCCUAACCAGAAAGCCCNCGGGUAACUACGUGCCAGCAGCCGCGGGUAAUAACGUAGGUGGCAAGCGGUUGUCCGGAAUUAUUGGGGCGUAAAGGGCGUCGCAAGGCGGGUUAUCUUAAGUCUGAUGUGAAAGCCCCCGGGUCAACCGGGGAGGGUCCAUUGGGAACCUUGGGGAAACUUGAGUUGCAAAAGGAAUUGGGAAUUCCCACGUNUAACCGGGUAAAAUUGCGCUAAAANUUAUUGGCAGGACANCCAGUUGGCGAAAGGGAACUCUCNGGUCUGUAACCUGAACNCGCUUAAGGAGCGAAAGCCGUGGGGACGCGACCGGAUUUNAUNACCCUGGGUAGUUCCACGGCCGUUAACCAAUAAGUGGCUAAGUGUAAGGGGGUUACCGCCCCCUUANUUGCUUGCAGGUUUAACGCAUUUAAGGCACAUCCCGCCUGGGG
rnacentral:rRNA from 1 species